rnacentral:rRNA from 1 species
AGAGUUUGAUCCUGGCUCAGGAUGAACGCUGGCGGCGUGCUUAACACAUGCAAGUCGAACGGAGUGGAUAUUCUUCGGAAGAUUCACUUAGUGGCGGACGGGUGAGUAACGCGUGGGUAACCUGCCUCAUACAGGGGGAUAGCAGCUAGAAAUGGCUGCUAAUACCGCAUAAGCGCACAGCAUCGCAUGAUGCCGUGUGAAAAACUCCGGUGGUAUGAGAUGGACCCGCGUCUGAUUAGGUAGUUGGCGGGGUAACGGCCCACCAAGCCGACGAUCAGUAGCCGACCUGAGAGGGUGACCGGCCACAUUGGGACUGAGACACGGCCCAAACUCCUACGGGAGGCAGCAGUGGGGAAUAUUGCACAAUGGGCGAAAGCCUGAUGCAGCGACGCCGCGUGAGCGAAGAAGUAUCUCGGUAUGUAAAGCUCUAUCAGCAGGGAAGAAAAUGACGGUACCUGACUAAGAAGCCCCGGCUAACUACGUGCCAGCAGCCGCGGUAAUACGUAGGGGGCAAGCGUUAUCCGGAUUUACUGGGUGUAAAGGGAGCGUAGACGGAGAGGCAAGUCUGAUGUGAAAACCCGGGGCUCAACCCCGGGAGUGCAUUGGAAACUGUUUAUCUGGAGUGCCGGAGGGGUAAGUGGAAUUCCUAGUGUAGCGGUGAAAUGCGUAGAUAUUAGGAGGAACACCAGUGGCGAAGGCGGCUUACUGGACGGUAACUGACGUUGAGGCUCGAAAGCGUGGGGAGCAAACAGGGUUAGAUACCCUGGUAGUCC